rnacentral:lncRNA from 7 species
GGGGGGGGGGGGGGCUACACUAUUGGAGAGAUCUUAGACUAAUUCUUCUUCAUUCAUUUUCCCCUUAAGAAGGUACAACUCAUCCUUAUAUAGAUAGGAAGACAUGACCCCCAAGUAACUAACUCAAUCUUAUCUAAUCUAUUCGUCUAUGAAAUUGGAUUAAUCGUAAUUUACCUAUAAGUUAACUCACACAGUUGGUUUAGCCUUGGUGUCAUUUUCCACUUUUAACACAUAGAUAAACAAUGAGAUGACCUGCAUUAAUUUAUAAGCCUCCACCAAAAUGUCUUCCUUGUAAUACUUAAGGUUUGAUUGGAACAAAACAUUCAGUAAAGGGGAAUGUUGUUUUUGGAUUACCUCUUUACCGUAUACAAUCUGGCCCAUCCAUAAGUUUUUUUCCUCAGACUAUGCAAGAACACGCAGGAGAAAUUGUAUCAUUAUAUUAAGAAGACAGAAAAUAGUCUAGAAAAGACCAAGUACAAGGUGCCCAGAAGACACCCGACCAAGGAGAAAAACAGGGGGGAG